GGACAAUAUCCAUGCUGAAACCAUAGUGGAUUCUAACACUCCCAACAUGUGAGACCUGCUCUACGCCUGCCAGAAUCAGGUCCACACUCUGUCAGAACAGACAACAGACAUGACAGCUAAAUUUCAAACAGCAGCAAAAGUGAGAAGAAUAUCUAGAAACAUCUGCCAAGAACAGGCCUUCCUUGUGUCAAUAAAGGUAUCACCAUCCACUGUGAAGAUGAUAAACAGAAGACUCUGCACAAUAAUGGAGAAAAUGACUGAGAUUGCAGGAAACAAUGCUCUGCAAUUUUUUUCCAUUUGCUGC